UACGUAGGGACCAAGCGUUGUUCGGAUUUACUGGGCGUAAAGGGCGCGUAGGCGGCGUGACGAGUCACUUGUGAAAUCUCUGAGCUUAACUCAGAACGGCCAAGUGAAACUGUUGUGCUAGAGUGCAGAAGGGGCAAUCGGAAUUCUUGGUGUAGCGGUGAAAUGCGUAGAUAUCAAGAGGAACACCUGAGGUGAAGACGGGUUGCUGGGCUGACACUGACGCUGAGGCGCGAAAGCCAGGGGAGCAAACGGG
rnacentral:rRNA from 1 species